CCUACGGGAGGCAGCAGUGAGGAAUAUUGGACAAUGGGAGCAAUCCUCAUCCAGCCAUGCCGCGUGCAGGAAGACGGCCCUAUGGGUUGUAAACUGCUUUUAUACAGGAAGAAAAAAGNGUACGUGUACACUAUUGACGGUACUGUACGAAUAAGGAUCGGCUAACUCCGUGCCAGCAGCCGCGGUAAU
rnacentral:rRNA from 1 species